GUUACAUUAUUAUACAGGCAAAAGUGGCGUCAUGUUAUGGAGUGGGGUAGCCUUAAGAAAAAGUACACGAAACCGGAGGAAUAGGAGCUAACAUCCAGAUUAGAGGGUUCAUACAGUGUAUUGCUGAGCCGAAGUAGCGGAGCUCCAGUGGCGCAAUCGGUUAGCGCGCGGUACUUAUAUGACAGUACAUUGUAGAGCUAUGCCGAGGUUGUGAGUUCGAGCCUCACCUGGAGCAGUGUUUUUACUAAGAGAGAGCGAUAGAGCUCACACCCCGGGCAGGUUGGUGAUGAAGAGCCUGUCAGAGCGCCAAGGGGAAGUGAUGUCAUGGCGCUCUAGGCAGAAGAACAGCAGACUGGAGGUCAGAGUUUGGGGUUUGUCAGAUUGUCAGAACAAGUUUUUUUUUUGUCUCUCUUUGCUGCAACUCGAGGACAGGGAGGAUGAGGGAGUUGUGGUGCGAGAGAGUUUCUGCUUAAUUUCAGUUUCUCUCUUUCAGUUUCUCCACGUUCUUGCUGAAUUUGCUUGGUUCUCUGGUUAGAAGUUCUCAGGUGUGUGCUGCUGUUGGAGAUUCAAACUCAGCCCACGUAUGUUAGUCUUUAGUAUAAGACUGUGAAGUUUAUGGGUUGUUUGUCUCACUAACAACUUGGUCAAAUGUAAAAACCUAAUUACACUGUAUAUGUGUUCCUAAAUACAAUAAACAUGAUAUGUUUCAAGCCUCAAAACUCA
ensembl:lncRNA